rnacentral:rRNA from 1 species
AUGGCCGCCGCCUCGCCGCCGCCCUCCCCGCCCCAUCCAAAGCGCCCCAAGAUGUCCUCCUCCUCCGACCCCGAGCCGGAGCCCACCUCGCUGUCUGCCGCCGGGGCCGAUCCCGGGCAGCCUCGCCGCCGCUACAAGCGCCGCAAGGUGGCCAUCAUCCUGGCCUACUGCGGCGCGGGGUAUCAGGGUAUGCAGAAGAAUCCGGGCGCGCGCACCAUCGAGGGCGAUCUCGAGGAGGCGCUCUACCAGGCGGGCGCCGUCCCGGAAGCCGACCGUGCCGCGCCCGCCCGAUACGAGUGGGCACGCGCAGCGCGCACCGAUAAGGGCGUGAGCGCCGCCGCGCAAGUUGUCUCCGGACGCUUCUACGUCGACCCGCCGGGAUUCAUCGACCGCCUGAAUGCGAAACUCGCGCCACAGAUCCGGGCCUUUGGCUACGUGCGCGUCACCAACUCCUUCAGCGCUAAGAAGUUCUGCGACCGCCGGAGGUAUGUGUACCUGCUCCCCGUCUUGGCGCUCGACCCCAGCGCACACCCAGACCGCGAGGCUGUCAAGGCAAGCGCGGGGAGUGAGAACCAACUUGCGAAGUGCGUGGAGUGCUCCGAGAGGGGGAGGAAGGUGCCAGAUAUUAUGGGCCGGGAGGGGAAGUUGCCCGACUCCGAGGAGGAGAAGGUUCUUGAUACGCCUGGAGAGGAAACUGUGGCCUCUCAUGGAGAAUUAGGGGAUGCAAAAUCUGUUCCAGCAAGCCCUGUUACUGAGACUUGUGAUGGCGAGACUAGGCUGGGGGGUGAUGUAAUGAUUGAUAUACCGAGCUCUGGUAAUGGAACAGAAGCUCAAAAUGCUGAACUGGGAUCAAAUGGGGCAGGAAAAUUUGAUAUUGAACCUGCACUUGGUACUUGCGAUUCUGAAGCUGUACCAACCAGCGCCAGUGAGACCAUCUGUUCUGAUUCAACCUUAGGUUCAGUUGAUGUCGUUGCUUCAGUUGUAGCUGAGAAGGAGAAUAAUUUUGAGCCUGCAGAUAGUGAAAAGGAGAGAAUGCAAGCUAUAAAUAUUCAGAAGGAGAAUGGAGAAGAAAGUCCCCUUCUGAAAAACACAUUUGCUUACACUGAUGAAGUUAAAGAGAAGUUCAAUAGGAUCCUCAAGCAUUAUGUUGGAACCCGCAAUUUCCACAACUUCACCACAAGAACUAAGGCUGAGGAUCCUGCAGCCAAGAGGUACAUCAUUUCCUUCACUGCCAAUAGCGUUGUUAGUCUGGAUGGGAUUGAUUUUGUCAGAUGUGAGGUUGUCGGGCAGAGUUUCAUGCUUCAUCAGAUCCGGAAGAUGGUUGGCCUUGCUGUAGCAGUGAUGAGGAACUGUGCACCUGAGUCAAUCUAUGACGUUGCCUUCCGCAAGGAUAUCAGACUUAAUGUGCCUACUGCACCCGAGGUUGGACUGCACCUUGAUGAAUGCAUGUUUACCUCAUAUAACUCAAAAUGGAUGGAUACACAUGAGGCAGUUUCAAUUGAACCCUAUGCUGAGGAGGCUGAAGAGUUCAAGAUCAAGUACAUCUUCCCUCAUAUUGCUGCAAUGGAACACAAGGAGGGAGCUGUAGCACUCUGGUUGCAUGCGUUGAACAGCAGAAACUAUCCAGAUUUCCGCUACAUGGAGACUGCUGGAUCUGAGGCAAAGGUUGGGGCUGAAGUUGAGAAUAUGGAAGAAGUGCAAAUGCCAAGUAAUAAUAUAAGCGAGUAA